GAUGAACGCUAGCUACAGGCUUAACACAUGCAAGUCGAGGGGUAACGAGAGGAAAGCUUGCUUUCCCUGUCGACGACCGGCGCACGGGUGAGUAACGCGUAUCCAACCUGCCCCCAACUAGGGAAUAACCUUGCGAAAGUAAGACUAAUACCCUAUAAUUUCCUCAGAUGUCAUCUGACGAGGAAUAAAGAUUUAUCGGUUGUGGAUGGGGAUGCGUCUGAUUAGCUUGUUGGCGGGGUAACGGCCCACCAAGGCAACGAUCAGUAGGGGUUCUGAGAGGAAGGUCCCCCACAGUGGAACUGAGACACGGUCCAAACUCCUACGGGAGGCAGCAGUGAGGAAUAUUGGUCAAUGGGCGGAAGCCUGAACCAGCCAAGUAGCGUGCAGGAUGACGGCCCUAUGGGUUGUAAACUGCUUUUAUACAGGAAUAAAGUUAGCCACGUGUGGUUAUUUGUAGGUACUGUAUGAAUAAGGACCGGCUAAUUCCGUGCCAGCCGCCGCAGUAA
rnacentral:rRNA from 1 species